UACGUAGGGUGCGAGCGUUAAUCGGAAUUACUGGGCGUAAAGCGUGCGCAGGCGGUUUUGUAAGCCAGAUGUGAAAUCCCCGGGCUUAACCUGGGAAUGGCAUUUGGGACUGCAAGGCUGGAGUUUGGCAGAGGAGACUGGAAUUCCUGGUGUAGCAGUGAAAUGCGUAGAUAUCAGGAGGAACACCGAUGGCGAAGGCAGGUCUCUGGGCUGAAACUGACGCUCAUGCACGAAAGCGUGGGGAGCAA
rnacentral:rRNA from 1 species